UACGGAGGGGGCUAGCGUUGUUCGGAAUUACUGGGCGUAAAGCGCACGUAGGCGGCUUUGCAAGUCAGAGGUGAAAGCCCGGGGCUCAACCCCGGAAUAGCCUUUGAGACUGCAUCGCUUGAGCAUCGGAGAGGUAAGUGGAAUUCCGAGUGUAGAGGUGAAAUUCGUAGAUAUUCGGAAGAACACCAGUGGCGAAGGCGACUUACUGGACGAUUGUUGACGCUGAGGUGCGAAAGCGUGGGGAGCAAACAGG
rnacentral:rRNA from 1 species